rnacentral:rRNA from 1 species
GAUGAACGCUGGCGGCGUGCCUAAUACAUGCAAGUCGAGCGAACGGACGAGAAGCUUGCUUCUCUGAUGUUAGCGGCGGACGGGUGAGUAACACGUGGAUAACCUACCUUUAAGACUGGGAUAACUUCGGGAAACCGGAGCUAAUACCGGAUGAUAUUUUGAACCGGAUGGUUCAUAAGUGAAAGCCGGUCUUGCUGUCACUAAUAGAUGGAUCCGCGUUGCAUUAGCUAGUUGGUAAGGUAACGGCUUACCAAGGCAACGAUGCAUAGCCGACCUGAGAGGGUGAUCGGCCACACUGGAACUGAGACACGGUCCAGACUCCUACGGGAGGCAGCAGUAGGGAAUCUUCCACAAUGGGCGAAAGCCUGACGGAGCAACGCCGCGUGAGUGAUGAAGGUCUUCGGAUCGUAAAACUCUGUUAUUAGGGAAGAACAUAUGUGUAAGUAACUGUGCACAUCUUGACGGUACCUAAUCAGAAAGCCACGGCUAACUACGUG